rnacentral:rRNA from 1 species
GACGAACGCUGGCGGCGUGCUUAACACAUGCAAGUCGAACGGUAAGGCCCUUCGGGGUACACGAGUGGCGAACGGGUGAGUAACACGUGGGUGAUCUGCCCUGCACUUCGGGAUAAGCCUGGGAAACUGGGUCUAAUACCGGAUAGGACUCCGGACUGCAUGGUCUGGGGUGGAAAGCUUUUGCGGUGUGGGAUGGGCCCGCGGCCUAUCAGCUUGUUGGUGGGGUGAUGGCCUACCAAGGCGACGACGGGUAGCCGGCCUGAGAGGGUGACCGGCCACACUGGGACUGAGAUACGGCCCAGACUCCUACGGGAGGCAGCAGUGGGGAAUAUUGCACAAUGGGCGCAAGCCUGAUGCAGCGACGCCGCGUGAGGGAUGACGGCCUUCGGGUUGUAAACCUCUUUCAGCAUCGACGAUGCGCAAGUGACGGUAGGUGCAGAAGAAGGACCGGCCAACUACGUGCCAGCAGCCGCAGUAA